rnacentral:sRNA from 1 species
CUUAUAAAUCGUGUUUUAAAGAUUUUUAGCCGUUUUAAAAAGAUAGGCAGUGUUAGAUAUGUAUUUACAAGGGAUUUUAAAGACUUCUUAAU